GACGAACGCUGGCGGCGUGCUUAACACAUGCAAGUCGAACGGUAAGGCCCUUCGGGGUACACGAGUGGCGAACGGGUGAGUAACACGUGGGUGAUCUGCCCUGCACUUCGGGAUAAGCCUGGGAAAAUGGGUCUAAUACCGGAUAGGACCACUGACUGCAUGUGUGGUGGUGGAAAGCUUUUGCGGUGUGGGAUGGGCCCGCGGCCUAUCAGCUUGUUGGUGGGGUGAUGGCCUACCAAGGCGACGACGGGUAGCCGGCCUGAGAGGGUGACCGGCCACACUGGGACUGAGAUACGGCCCAGACUCCUACGGGAGGCAGCAGUGGAGAAUAUUGCACAAUGGGCGCAAGCCUGAUGCAGCGACGCCGCGUGAGGGAUGACGGCCUUCGGGUUGUAAACCUCUUUCAGCACCGACGAAGCGCAAGUGACGGUAGGUGCAGAAGAAGGACCGGCCAACUACGUGCCAGCAGCCGCAGUAA
rnacentral:rRNA from 1 species